UUCUCGGCCAAUCCUCCCCACGCGGGAGGCUCUAAUCCAGGGGAAGCACCUGGCAUGGGAGAGCGGUCUCUGGCUCUGAACCAGCUGUGGGCCCUUGGGUGGUGUUGGGGGAGGGGGGGGAAGAUGCAGUUUCUGCCUCCUUGGGCUGGUGGCAUCUCUUUGGCAUAACCACUCUGCCAGGAAGUGGGGCAACAGCACCUUCAGGGAGACGGCUAGAGCCCCCUCCCUGCAGGACUUACUACCGCACUGCUCCUUUGAACCUGCUGCAUAAGGAUAAAGACUUGACGUUCAACAACAACAAGAAGAAAGGAAGAACAAAAUUCUUUCGUCUGGCAUUUGAAAAAAAAAAAAAGGAGUUUAUUAGGGUUAUUGCAAUGAUUAAUCCAGGAACCACGAGAGAAGCUGAACUCUUUAUUCCAACCUAUUUUGCCACUGUUCUUAGAUUUGGAAUGCGAUUCGGUUCACCCCAGAAAAUGGAAUGAAAGUGCUUUGGACAUCUGUAUUUCCCUUCCUCCCCCAUUCGAAGUGGGUUACAUAUAUAGAAUACAAGCGAC